GCCUGCUUAGCUCAGUGGUAGAGCGCGUCACUUGUAUGUUCUUGCGGGGUAAUCCACCAUGAACCUGCAUGACGAGGUCAGUCGUUCAAACCGGCUAGUUGGCA